ACGACGCUGGCGGCGUGCUUAAUACAUGCAAGUCAACGACUUUUAGAGUAGCAAUAUUUUAAAGGGAGUGGCGCACGGGUGAGUAACACGUAGGUAAUCUGCCUUCAGGACUGACACAACUCGUCGAAAGACGGGCUAAUAUCAGAUAAUGCAGCGGCUCCGCAUGGAGACAGUUGUUAAAGUACAAGCGCCUGAAGAUGAGCCUGCGGUCCAUUAGCUAGUUGGUAGAGUAACAGCCUACCAAGGCAACGAUGGAUAGCUGGUCUGAGAGGAUGAUCAGCCACACUGGAACUGAGACACGGUCCAGACUCCUACGGGAGGCAGCAGUAAGGAAUAUUGCUCAAUGGCCGAAAGGCUGAAGCAGCAACGCCGCGUGAAGGAUGAAUGGCCUUUGGCCUGUAAACUUCUGUAAAAGGGAAAAACAGUCAGGCAUGUCCUGAUUUGAUUGUACCUUUGAAGUAAGCCCCGGCUAACUACGUG
rnacentral:rRNA from 1 species